rnacentral:lncRNA from 1 species
AGUUUAGCAACUCCAGCACACCGACCUCUCCAGCAGUUUGAUCCAUUCAUUCUCAGGUUUGAAAGGUUUUGGCCGGGCGCGGUGGCUCAUGCCUGUAAUCCCAGCACUUUGGGAGGCUGAGGCGGGCGGAUCACCUGAGGUCCGUGGUUCGAGACCAGCCUGACCAAUAUAGAGAAACCCAGUCUCUACUAAAAAUACAAAAUUAGCCGGGCGUGGUAUCGCAUGCAUGUAAUCCCAGCUACUCGGGAGGCUGAGGCCGGAGAAUAGCAUGUAAUCCCAGCUACUCGGGAGGCAGAGGUUACGGUGAGCCGAGAUCGCGCCAUUGCACUCCAGCCUGGGCAACAAGAGCGAAACACUGUCUCAAAAAAAAAAAAAAAAAAAAAGGUUUAUUGAAUAUUCCAGUAUUCAAAACCCGGCCGGGCGCGGUGGCUCACGCCUGUAAUCUCAGCACUUUGGGAGGCCGAGGCGGGUGGAUUACGAGGUCAGGAGAUCGAGACCAUCCUGGCUAACACGGUGAAACCCCGUCUCUACUAAAAAUACAAAAAAAAUGAGCCGGGCGUGGUGGCGGGCGCCUGUAGUCCCAGCUACCUGGGAGGCCGAGGCAGGACAAUGGCGUGAACCCGGGAGACAGAGCUUGCAGUGAGCCGAGAUCACGCCGCUGCACUCCAGCCUGGGCGACAGAACGAGACUCCGUCUCAAAAAAAGAAAAAAAAAAAAACCCACAGACACAACUCCUACCAACUAACUGGGUCAGUAGGGAAGGUCCUUCCAGGACCGCAAAGAUCCUAAUGCUUCACACCCACCCAUUUUACAGAUGGGGCAAUAGAGGAAGCGGGUCACUUACGCGCUGCCCAAGGUCACCCAGCAAUGUAAUUGCAGGGCCUGGGUCAGUCUCUCCACUGUUCAAACACUAAAUGGCUACCUUAUCCCGAGGGAAGCAAGUAUUCGCUGUUCCCCUCUGAGAGAGGGGGCUCAGUCAGUAUGUUCCCAGAGAAUCAGGUGUCCUGGAGUGUCUGCUUUGGACUCAGGGAAGGCGUCCAGUUACUACUGCUCUUCCCUGGGGCCCCUCCCAGGGGUGUGGGACGAGGUCACUAAUCCAUCCUGUCUCUUUGGUAAUUGAAAAGGUUUUGGAGACCCAACCAUUGCCCAAAGACUCUUCCAAAGCACCAGGAAAAUAGGAAAGGAAAAUAAAAUGAUAUAUGUGAAAGCACUGGGAAAGGUAGAAAAGGACACUUUUGUCACAAAGUCACUGUGUCACUUGGCACAUCAGUUCAGCUCUCUGGCCUUCCAUUUCCCUACCUGUCAAAUGAAGGAGCUGGUGCCGUAAUCUCCAACAUGCCUUACAGCUUCCAUAAAUAUGUGGAAGUGUGGCAGUGUGCAGUGGCUCUCACCUGUAAUCCCAGCACUCUGGGAGGCCGAGGCAGGUGGAUCACGAGGUCAGGAAUUCAAGACCAGCCUGACCAACAUGGUGAAAACCCCGUUUCUACUAAAAAUACAAAAAUUAGCCAGGCGUGGUGGUGCGUGCCUGUAAUCUCACUACUCAGGAGGCUGAGGCGGAGAAGUGCUUGAACCCGGGAGGCAGAGGUUGCAGUGAGCCAAGAUCGUCCCACUGCAAUCCAGCCUGGGCACCAGAGCGAGACUCUGUCUCAAAACAAACAAACAAACAAACAAAAAAUAUAUAUAGAGAGAGAGGUGUUUGCUUUCUCCAAAAUUGAUUAUUUCAACAUUUAUUGAGCUCUAUGCCUGCCGCUGUUUUGGAUCCCCCAAGGAUCCGAAGGGAAAGUAGACACAGCUCCUUCCCUGCAUUCUUUUAGGGAAGAAACAAGGCAUUAUU